UCUUUGCUAGUAUAUCGGUUAGUACACGCGCCUGUCAUACCCCUGUACCGCGCGAAAGCUGGGUUCGACUCCCAGGCAGAGAG